AUUGAACGCUGGCGGCAUGCCUUACACAUGCAAGUCGAACGGUAACAGGUCUUCGGAUGCUGACGAGUGGCGAACGGGUGAGUAAUACAUCGGAACGUGCCUAGUAGUGGGGGAUAACUACUCGAAAGAGUGGCUAAUACCGCAUGAGAUCUACGGAUGAAAGCAGGGGAUGGCAAGACCUUGUGCUACUAAAGCGGCCGUGGGCGGAUUGGGUAGUUGGGGGGUAAAAAGCUUACCAAGCCGACGAUCUGUAGCUGGUCUGAGAGGACGAUCAGCCACACUGGGACUGAGACACGGCCCAGACUCCUACGGGAGGCAGCAGUGGGGAAUUUUGGACAAUGGGCGAAAGCCUGAUCCAGCAAUGCCGCGUGCAGGAUGAAGGCCUUCGGGUUGUAAACUGCUUUUGUACGGAACGAAAAGCCCCGGGUUAAUACCCUGGGGUCAUGACGGUACCGUAAGAAUAAGCACCGGCUAACUACGUGCCAGCCGCCGCAGUAA
rnacentral:rRNA from 1 species